rnacentral:lncRNA from 1 species
AUGGGUUUUAAGGUUGUUAAAUGUUUUGAACUAGUUGAUGCCCGCUCGCGUUGCGGGGCGAUGGCCGAAUAGCUUUCAAUCAACUAAAAAAACACUACUAUAAUUUUGCUAGGAAAAAACUAAAACGAUGACAAGACUGUAAUUUUGGGCUCUGAGCAAAAUUGUAAUUUUUCAGGACUAAUGAGCGAGUGUUAGACAGCUCCUAUCAUUAUUAUAAGGAAAAAAAUCUAAUGACAAAACUGUAAAUUUAAACUGGGCAAAAUCAUAAUGUUGAACCGAGGAAAAAUUGAAAAUUUUUAGCUGAGAGCAAAAUCGUAAAUUUAUUUUUAAGUGAGGGUAAAAGCAUAAUUUUGAACUGAUGGUAAAAUCGUAAUUUUAAAACGGGAUAAAAUCGUAAAUUUGUUGGGCCAAUAGGGGAGUGGCAUGCAUGACUAUAAGUAUAAACGGGAAAAAAUCGUAAUUUAGAAAAAAAAAAAAUCAAGUUGUGGUGGCAGGUGGCCGCCCAACUACACCAAUGGAAUCGAAGUACUAUUGCCCGAACUUUAUUUUGUUAUAGUAGAUAAAGAUAAUACCCUAUUUUCUAAUUUUUUAUUGAUAUAAAACAAAAAUAUUUUUUCUUUUUUUGGAAAUUAUGAAUUGCAGGGGCAAGUGUGUUAAAAAAUUAUGAAUCCCAGAUUUACGUAAAUGUAAAACGGUGUUUAAAACGUUUCUAAAAUGUAAAUGUUCAGAUUUACAUUUGCAUACAAAUUAGGUUUUUAGAAAAAAAAAUUGGAUGUAAAAACAUGGCAUUUUGUACCGAUUUUUUGUAGAUGUAAAAAAUUGAAAUUUCAAGCAUUGUUUUCAACUCGUUUUGUGAGUUUUGUCUAAGGCGCUUCGGGGCGUCUUCGGUAAACCGAAGCGGGGUGGAGAGAAGGAAGGCGGUAAGACACCGCCAACCCUUCGGUAAAUGAAAUCGGGGAGGAGAGAAGGAGGGAAGCCGGUGGCGGCUCACCGAAGAGAGAGGGAGGAGAGAGAGAGGGAGUGACCAAUCACAGUUUUUCUUUUUUUUCUUUUUUUUUUUUUAAAAAAAAAAACCCAAUUCACCUAAGAGGGGAGUGGCGCCAUCAAAUUGGGGUGUUAGGGGAGUUUAAGAGGGGAGUUGACGUGGCACACGGGGAUUGGUUUGGCGUAAGAGAGGGGACUCACCUAUUAGGUGAGCACCCCCUUCACCCUAAGUUUUACAUUUGGUGUAAACUAAAACGUUUCUUUAAAGUAAAUGUUUAGAUUUACAGUUGUGUAAAAAUUAGGUUUUUAGAAAAAACAAAAUUGGAUGUAAAAGUAUUUUGGGGUGUUUGGAUCCAUAUUUUUGUGGAUGUAAAAAAUAAAAAUGCCGGACAUUGUUUUUAAUUCGUUUAGCGAUUUUUGUCUAAGUUUUAUGUUUGGUGUAAAUUUAAAGGUUUCUUAAAGGGAAAUGUUCAGAUUUAUACUUGUGUAUAAAUUAGUUU